UUGUUGUUGCUGUUUUUAUUGCUCUUUAUUGUUGAUCAUUAUGGGGAUGAUGUUGCUGUCCUUUUCUUUCAAUUAAUCUCCUUAAAAAAAAAAGACCAUCCUAUACCACUCAAACAUGGCAGAGCUCUUCAGUAUGAUGAGAAUGGGAAGGAGGAAUUUUGACAGGAGGCAAGAGCCAUGUUCUUAUGUUGUUGCCCAUGUCCCUCCUUUCCUUUAAUCAAAGUUAUAUAAGUUGAAUUCGGCAGGGGUUGUGCCGCGUAAGUUGUCCGAGGAUGGGCAAGAGUUAGAGGUGGAUCGAUCAGGACCAAUAAAAACCAAAUGGGGAUCUUCCUUUAUAUUUUAUAGCAGCAGCA
rnacentral:lncRNA from 1 species